GAUGAAGAACGCAGCGAAAUGCGAUAAGUAGUGUGAAUUGCAGAAUUCAGUGAAUCAUCGAAUCUUUGAACGCACAUUGCGUCCCUUGGUAUCCCGAGGGGCAUGCCUGUUCGAGCGUCAUUUCACCACUCAAGCCUGGCUUGGUGUUGGGCGACGUCCCCUUUGGGGACGCGCCUCGAAACGCUCGGCGGCGUGGCACCGGCUUUAAGCGUAGCAGAAUCUUUCGCUUUGGAAGUCGGGGCCCCGUCUGCCGGAAGACCUACUCGCAAGGUUGACCUCGGAUCAGGCAGGGAUACCCGCUGAACUUAAGCAUAUCAAUAAGCGGAGGA
rnacentral:misc_RNA from 1 species